UACGAAGGGGGCUAGCGUUGCUCGGAAUCACUGGGCGGUAAAGGGUGCGUAGGCGGCGCGGUAAGUCGGGUGUGAAAUCUUGGAGCUUAACUCCGAAACUGCAUUCGAUACUGCCGUGCUUGAGGACUGGAGAGGAGACUGGAAUUUACGGUGUAGCGGUGAAAUGCGUAGAUAUCGUAAGGAAGACCAGUGGCGAAGGCGGGUCUCUGGACAGUUCCUGACGCUGAGGCACGAAGGUCAGGGGAGCAAACGGG
rnacentral:rRNA from 1 species